rnacentral:lncRNA from 1 species
AAUGGACCACAUAGAAGUAAAGGUGUCAAAUGUGUGGAUUGACAUGGGCACCACAUGAUUAUAAUGGGGCCAUAGCAUGAUGGUUUUGGUGUCGGCACUUAUUUUGGGUCACAAGAAUAUGACCAAUACGUUUAUGUGAGUAAAUCUUAAAGUUGUGUUUGAAUUAAAAAUUUGAUGAGAAAAAAAAAUCGUAAAUAAUUCAAUGGUCAUGAACGGUUGGAUUGACUAGUAUUUUUAUUUUUAUUUUUUAUCUCUCACUCAAUCAUUGAUUCGAAUACAGCCUAAAUGAUUUUAAAUUUUUGACACAAUAAACUAAUUCAUAAAAAAAAUGCAGCACGACACGAGAUAUAACUGAGCAAAAUUUAAAUUUUUAUUAAAUGAGUACGACACAAAACACAAAAAUAAAUAGAUUAUACUAACACAACUCGGAUGGUUUGACACCUCUGCUUAGAAGUAAUUGGGCUCAAUGGGGGUAACCUCCGUGACAAGGGGUGUCGCACAUUCUUGGUGAGAUGCUUGCCGCGUCAAGACACGUUUCAGGAGAAAUAAUGGCCCCCUAAGAGAGGUGUAUCUAAGGCAAAUCAUUUUACCGCUAGGCCCACUACCCGGCCCAAGUCCGCCGAAGCCCGAUUCCUGGGAAGGUCGGGUAAACCUGAAUAAUUUUUGAGCUCGGCCCGAUCGUCCUACCCUUGCUGUCCUGCCUAGCAGCCCACCGGAAAGCCUGCCUAGUAAAGAAAAUGAAGAGUAAAGAAAUGACGCCAUCUCAAUCUCUUCGUCCAGAAAAUCCAUUCCAUUGUAAAUCUCUAUUGAAAUCAAACAACCAUUUCUAGUAGACGACCGAACGAAGCUCAUCAACAACGAUGAAGAAAAGUACUAGGUUUUUGUCCCUAGGUUUUUAAUGUAAACUUGGUAGACCAAUUCGUUUUUUAGAUUUUUUAAUUGUUUUGGUUUUUAAUUUUUUUUUUAACUUUAGUUAAUAUUGAUUGAUCAAAAAUUUUAUUUUAUUUUAUUUUUUUGAGGAGAAGAGUCUAAAAAUAUAGAAGUUUUUAUCUAAUUUGUGAAAAAAGACAAAGACAAAAAAAAAAAAAAAAACUCAGCAAAUUAGUUGAUUUUUAACUAAAUUUGAAGUAAAUGUCUCAGCAAAUUUCUAAACUGAAGUAAUUGGUUCCCUAAACCUGGUGUAGGAUCAGAGUUAGAGCAAAAGCUUAGCUGUUAGGGCUCGUUUGGCUGGAGGAUAUGGGAGGAGGAUAAUUUUUAGAGGAGGGAUAAAUUUUAGAGGGGAAUAAUUUUUGGAGGGAUUCAACUUUUAACUUUGUUUGAAUACUUUUUAGAAUAGGUGGAUAGGAGUGUGAGAUAAGGAAUAAAAUAUAUAGAGAGAAACAAAAUUGUACAGAUCUAGAUAUUAAAAAUAUGUAUAUACAUAUAUAAAUAUCUAUUUAAAGAUAUCAGACAUAUAUAUAUAUAUAUUAUAUAUAUAUAUAUAUAUUCUUAUCCCCCGCCCUUAUCUUCCCUCAUAACUUGUAACUAUGGUAAAAUGGUCACCCAUCAAUUAUCCGCUUCUAUCCCACCUGUUAGGGAAAAAAUUAUCCGGGGGAAAAAUUUAUCCUUCUCCCAUAUCCGCCAGUCAAACAUCAGAUAGGAGGAAAAAGCAGGGAGAAAAAUUAUCCUCCUCCCAUAUAAUCCAGCCAAACAGGCUCUUAAUGUAACAAGAAGUGAAGGCCUAAGAGGGGACACGAAUGGUCAAACCGUCGUAGCGUAUUUGCCAGCUGCACCGUUGCUACUUUCAUUUAACUUGUUCGUUUUCAUUUAGAAAAUGCUAUUCUUAAACUCUAAAAAGAUACUAAAAAACUGCAUAAAAAUGAUGUGACGUGAUGAUAAUAUUUUAAUAAUAAAAAUUAUCUUAAUUAAGUACACCCAAAAAAUAAUUUGUAUUUUCAUUUCGUCCUUUUGUGGACGUUAAUAAAAUAGCUCUAGGUCUCCAUUCAAAAUCGCCUAACCUCUAAACUACCACAACCAUCCUAUGACAAAUUGCCACCACUUUCCACUGCCUUGCCACCCCACCUCUAGACUCCUCUACACCAAUGUUUUAAAAACAGGAAACGGAUGAACCAGAAAAGGCACCGGACAUGGGUCAACGGUUCAACCGUCGGGUCAACCGUUAUUGAAACGUUAUCGAACCGUGACGUCAUAAAUUAUUCUAUAAUAGAUAAAAAUAAAAAUAAUUGGGGAGUUAAUUGCAAUAAUUUUAAUAUUUUGAACAAGUGGAUAUACUUUUAAAAUUAUGAGGGUCUAAAGUGUGAUUAUCCAAAAAAAGUCAAAUAUCUUCUCAGUCAACCGGUUCCAAUCGGUCAAUGACCGGUGAACGGGUUCAACCACUAGGUUGACCGGAUUUGAUCGGGUUUUGCCAAAAGGGUUGUGGUGGUAUAAUCGGAUCGUUUCUCCGACCGGUCGACAGUUCAACCCGUCGAACCGGCCGGUUCGGUCCGGUUUUUAAAACAUUGCUCUACACCUUCAGCCUUUUCACCCCAGCCCCUGCCGUUGCCACUUCUUCCCCAUGAUUGUAAGGUGACAAAAUUAUUAUUAUUAUUAUUAUUAUUUUUAUAUUAUGUAAUUAGGACACAUUUGUGAUGUCAUCAUUAUAUGCUAUUAUGAACUUUAGUAUAAUUGGAUCCAUUUAAUUUAAUUGGGUCACUUGUAAUAUAGUUGGGCUUAGUUAUAUUUUGUUUUGGGCCGAUGAGUAUGGGUCAUUUUAAUUGCUAGUGACUAGUAGGCUUGGGGGGUUUGUAAGUGUGUUUGUGGGAGAAAGUGAACCAUUUAUUUUGAAUCAUAUUUGUCAAAUAAGGCCUAAGGACCAAGUAAACAUUUAUUAUCUCUCUCUCCUCUUUUGGCCAAAGACCCAAAUAUUUUCAGCAUUUAUUUCACUUGCACUCUACUCACACUCUCUCUUCAUAUUUGAGCCAAGUGCGUUUCAACAUUCAAGCAAAUAUUUGAGUAUAUUAGAGUGAGAUUUAGGUAGUGAUUCUUUAGAAGCAAAUCUUUUACUCAAUGAAAGCUUCGCAUCGAACCAAAAAUAUUCGAGAUCGGAGCAAUUCGGAAUUUCGGCCAUUCCUCUUCUUAACCUUUUCUUGGAGCUUUCUUCCAUCUAUUUGAGGUAAAGAAGGUUAACUUGUUAGGGUUUGUUAUUGAGAGUAUGUUGAUAGCUUAUACUUAGCCUAUUGAGGCAUUAUUUUGGGUAUUAAAGCCUAGCAUGAAAACCUAGCUUUUGAUGAACAAAAAAUUAUUUUUAUGAAAAAGUUUUAGAGUUUGCAAUGUGAGAAAUAUUCUGUUUUUUCUAGCCUUUACUACCAGUAGUCAUGAAUGAACUACCCGUAGUUCUUCUGUUUUUUACUACCAGUAGUCAUGAAUGGACUAUCGGUAGUUCUUCUAUUUUUGGAGUCAACUGGACGCCCGAUCUAUCGGUAGUUGUAAAUCCUCUACCUGUAGUGUUUGGAUUUGGGUAGCCUCUGGAAUCCUGUCUACCGAUAAUGAUGAGGCCACUACCAGUAGUAAAUAUUUUAAUUUUGCCUCUAGAACUCUGUCUACCGGUAGUGCUCAAGCCACUACCAGUGGAAAUAAUUUGAUUUAGCCUCUAGAAGUCUAUAUACCGUAUUACUCAAUCACUACCGGUAUUUCAUAUUUUAAUUUUUGCCCACGGUGCUGAAUACCAGUAGAGGUUAUGCCCACUCCGGUCGUCGCUCUGUAUCAUGUUUUAAAACUCAACCGACCGGCCGUUCACCGUUUGAACCGUCGACGGUCGGAGAAACGGCCGGUUUACCCACCAAAACCCGUUUUGGUCACAUUCCGGUCAACCCGGUCAACCCUGCGGUUGAACCGGUGAACCGGUCAUGACCGGAUUGAAUCGGCUGACUGAGAGAUAUUUGACUUUUUUUGGAUUUAAUCACACUUUAAGACCCUCCAGUUUAAGUAUAUAUUACUUGAUUCCAAAUUUUAAAUUAUGCAAUUAACUCCCCAUUAUUUGUUCUUUUUAUCUAUUAUAAAUAAUUUAUGACGUCACGGUUCGAUAAUGGUUAAUAACGGUUGACCCGACGGUAGAACCGGUGAACUCCCGUGACUGACCCGUGGCCCUUUUUCCGGUUCAACCCGGUUUUUUUCGGUUUUUAAAACAUUGGCCUGUAUAUACAAAAAUAAAAGAGAUUUUCAUAAAAUGCAUUCUAUAUUGUAUAUUAAACACUUGAAACUUGUUUUGAAAAGGUGAAUUAAACAUGUGGGACUUGGAACUUGUUUUGGAAAUGUGAUUUAAACAUUUGGGACUUGAAAACUAGUUUUGCAAAUGACACACUAAGUAGUGCCGAAUUUGAUACAUUAGUGUACUCAGAAUAAUGGGGUUUAGGAUAAGUUCAUAGUGAGAGAUCGAAAAAUCUGCACGGGAGGGAAAGCCAAAUCCCUCGACUAAUGACUUAGAAGUUGGCCGGAUAUUGUCUCAUAUACUUGGUGCAUGAUGAGGCCGGUUUAGGUACUAAUCUAGGUAUGUCAUUUGAAAUAAUUGGAUUAACAUUUUGAGAAUGUUUGGAAAAUUUGAGAACUUGUUGGUUUUUAUAAAUCAUGAAUUGAAAAGUGUAUCUUGAUAUAAAUACACGCAUUAUUUUAUUGCAUUAUGAAAUUCAUUCUAUACAUAUGUAUUAUGAUUUUGGCUUGAUACAUCAAGCUCAUUGUUAAAUCAUUUCAAGAUAACUUAUAUUUACAAUUAAAUGAAUUUCAGGUACUGAGUUUUAUCAUGAUCCUUGAGGCACAUGGGUGUACCUAUUUUAGUUUAUGAACUUAUAAAUGUGUAUUUUGAAUUGUAAUAUUCUUUUGGCCUGGUGUUGGCGUUGUCCAUGUACUAUCAUUUUAUUUUAUAAUGUGAUAGCUCGUGGAGAGCAUGGUCAUACAGAAGAAAUUAUUUGCACUCUGAUAUUAUGAUAUAAUCUUGUUGUAUCAUUUUAGUUCGAUUUUCUUUUAUU